rnacentral:rRNA from 1 species
CCUACGGGAGGCAGCAGUGAGGAAUAUUGGUCAAUGGGCGGAAGCCUGAACCAGCCAAGUAGCGUGCAGGAUGACGGCCCUAUGGGUUGUAAACUGCUUUUAUACGGGAAUAACGCGCCUUACGUGUAGGGCUUUGCAUGUACCGUAUGAAUAAGGACCGGCUAAUUCCGUGCCAGCAGCCGCGGUAAUACGGAAGGUCCGGGCGUUAUCCGGAUUUAUUGGGUUGAAAGGGAGCGUAGGCGGCAUGUCAAGCGUGCUGUGAAAUGGCCGGGCUAAACUCGGGCGUUGCAGCGCGAACUGGGGUGCGUGAGUCCGCUGAAGGCAGGCGGAAUUCGUGGUGUAGCGGUGAAAUGCUUAGAUAUGACGAAGAACCCCGAUUGCGAAGGCAGCUUGCUGCAGCGGAACUGACGCUGAUGCUCGAAAGCGCGGGUAUCGAACAGGAUUAGAUACCCUUGUAGUC